UAAAGGGCCGCGGUAUUUUGACCGUGCAAAGGUAGCAUAAUCAUUAGUCUUCUAAUUAAAGGCUGGAAUGAAUGGUUGGACGAGGCACUAGCUGUCUCACCAAGAUAAGUUAGAAUUUAGCUUCUCAGUCAAAAGGCUGAGAUGCGGUUGGAGGACGAGAAGACCCUAUAGAUCUUUACAUUUCAUUCGUUUAGUUUGUUUGGGUGGGGUUAAGCUUUAGGGAGAAAGUGUUUUGUUGGGGUGACGAGAAGAUAAGAUAAACUCUUUUAUUCAGUAACACUGAUGAGUGGUUGGUUGAUCCAUUAGUUAUGAUUAUAAGACUAAGUUACCUUAGGGAUAACAGCGUAAUCUUUUUUGAGAGUUCUAAUCGACAAGAAGGGUUGCGACCUCGAUGUUGGACUAAGGGUUAUUCUUGGGUGUAGCAGCUCAAGGUUUAGGUCUGUUCGACCUUUGAACCCUUACAU
rnacentral:rRNA from 1 species